GUUAAUAUAAGAGUACCUAUUUUUAUCAGAACUAUCAUUUACAUAAUUAAUAAACAUUUUCCCAAAAUUCCUAAUAUCUUUUUCUUUAUUUAAAUUCAUACGAAAAUUUCCAAAUCCUUAAUUUUCUGAGGUUUAAUUAAUUCUUGAAUAUAUUUUUGCUGUUUAUUAUACAGAUUUUUAAAACGUGAAAUUUUUCAUCAUAAUCUUUCGGGAUCACCUUUUACUUUUAAUUGCAGAUGAUGGCGAAGUUUACAAGAGGGGUGUUCUAAUACGCUGGAGCUGUGGUGUUGGGUUUGCGAAACGAGUAUACUGGGCUGUGUCGUUAGUUUGUUAUGUAGCAUGAGGGAGAUUUAAAACUUUGCUUCUUACGUAUUGGUAUUUGGGACAAGCUUUGUAACUGGCUAUGUGGGAGUCCUGGCAGUUGCACGUCACACUGAUUAUGUCAACACUCCACAUCAUGCAACCCUGCACAUCUUACCCACCUGGGGUUAGCGUUACAGUAAGAUUUAGAGUGCCCAACUUUCUGAAAUUUGAAGCACUGGAUGAUACGUUUGAAAGAUGGCUUAGAAAUUGCUACUUUUUGCGUUUUUUGUUUGUUUUUUAUAAAGAGGACGCAUCUCUUGGCAAGUAGAGAGUCGUAAUGUUCUUUGUUUUCAAAUGAAAUUUUAAUCAGUGGUGGCUCUUGUUUGGAACGGAAAGAUAUGAUGCUACCAGAUUCUCAUGAAUUUAUGUUUCUUCAAGAUCAAGUUCUACACUUUUAACGACUAUAUUGUGCAACUGGUAGGUGUUUGGUGUGUAAAUGGUCUAGUGUUGCCACCAAAGCUUCCUUAGGCCAGGUUGGUCACAUUCUACAACAAGACCACAUUUGGGAAGACGCCGUAUUUCCUUAAAUUUAUAUGUGGGAAAGUGUUUCUAAACUCUGUGGCAAUUUGUGGUUGGUGAAGGGUAUGUGGAAUUCCUUCAACCAUUAGUGCUGUAAUGUUUCAUGGUUUCUUUGUUGCAGCAUUACAUGUAUUGGUUGCCGGUGUAGGUGUGCUGCAUGGUGUGAUGUUUGUGGUGGGUUCUAGGUUAAAUGUUUGUGUGUGUGUGUUAAGUCAUCGGAACUUGUACUUACCCGUGGAGUCUUCAUUUUCCUGGGCUUCCUUUGGAUAGUAGUAAAACGUUCAUCAUCAGAUUUUGUGCUGGCAUCGGUAGGUGGCGGGACUAUGAAAUAACAUGAAUCUGUAUCCGAAACCGGAAGUAUUGUGUCAGGAACUGAAUUGUCGCUAAUGGCGUCGGGAAUAAUGGUCCGUAAGCUGGCCUGAAUAUCCUCUAUGGUCCUGGCUGGUCCUAAAGAUCUUGUGACAACGCCAGAUGAAGUAAUUGCAAUCGUAGUUGCAAGAUUUAUUUUCCUUCCUUUGAUUCGGGUCCUCAUAAGGGCCGGGAUGUUGCCCCACUAGAAGGAAACAAAAAAUAAAAAGUUAUUAUUGUAGAGCUUCAGGUAAAGCACGUCUGACAUGUACUGCUAUCUCGACUAGACUCAAUACCUGAAAUCAGUUUUGCCAAAGGACAAAACGAUGAACCCCUAUUAUCCACAAUUGGACAAAAGGGGGCACCAAUUGUAUGGAUUUUAGGUAGCGCGAAAAACCUGGUUAAAAUAAACCUUGAGGUUCUUUGUUUUCAGUGUCAAAAUAACUGAAUUUUCUACUACAGUUUUUAACCUAUUAUGAACAAAGGUGGUGGGAUUCAUUUUCAUUUGUUUGUAAGAACCAUCCUCUGACAAUUUAUAAGUUUGUUCUCAUAAACUGUUAUAUCCAAAAUUACAACUUGACUUCCUAUAUCUGGCUUGGUAAUUACAAUGUUACAUUGUUUUGUAUUUAAAGCCCCUAACUAUUCUACCUCACCAUUACUUAAAUUAUGUUUAGGUAUGCCUUUCUGGUUCAAUAAUUCGUUAACUACUUUUGUUCUAACUGUGUGUUUCAUCCUAUCAUUAACUUCUAGUCUUUUAGAACAUGUUUCUAUUGACACAAUAAAAUCCCUUUUCACUGAAAAAUGUAAGCCUAGACUUAAAAUUUCCAUUUGCUUAGGUGACAUACUAUCAUUUAAUAAGUUAAGAACUUAAGGAUGAGACAGUAGUUUACUGUAUUUAUCUUCCAAGGCUGGAAUUUCAUUGUCAGACUUUCUUUUUAAACUUUCCUCAUUUUUCUUAAUCAUGGCCCUAAGAAUUUUGUCAUGAAUUUGUUGGAUAAUAGAUUUUACCUUCGUGCUUUUUAGAUUCCAUUCCACUGUAAUUGUUGUGGAACUGCCAUGCAACUUUUACUCAACCAAAAGUUCAAUUGAGUUAGUUUUCUUCGACGUCGACUUCUAA